GACGGACGCUGGCGGCGUGCUUAACACAUGCAAGUCGAACGGAAAGGCCCCAGCUUGCUGGGGUACUCGAGUGGCGAACGGGUGAGUAACACGUGGGUGAUCUGCCCUGCACUCUGGGAUAAGCCGGGGAAACUGGGUUUAAUACCGGAUAGGACCGUGCUUUAGGUGGUGCGGGGGAAGGUUUUUCGGUGCAGGAUGAGCCCGCGGCCUAUCAGCUUGUUGGUGGGGUAAUGGCCUACCAAGGCGGCGACGGGUAGCCGGCCUGAGAGGGUGUACGGCCACAUUGGGACUGAGACACGGCCCAGACUCCUACGGGAGGCAGCAGUGGGGAAUAUUGCACAAUGGGCGCAAGCCUGAUGCAGCGACGCCGCGUGGGGGAUGACGGCCUUCGGGUUGUAAACCCCUUUCGGCAGGGACGAAGCUUUUGUGACGGUACCUGCAUAAGAAGCACCGGCUAACUACGUG
rnacentral:rRNA from 1 species